UUGAAAGGGAAACGAUUGAAGUCAGUCGUACCGGUGGGUAAUCAGCCUUUCGGCGUGAUUAUGUGGAGCGUGAGGAGUUAAACGCCCUCAUGCCUGCAUAUUCGUGUUCUUUGGGUGUACUUACCCGCAUGGUAGGUUAACAUCAAUUUCGAACGUCAUAAAAUGGUUGGAGGAAUGUAGCUUCGAUCUCGUAUUGAAGUGUUAUAGCCUUCGGCAGAUGUGAUGAUCGGGAUUGAGGAUUGCAACGGAUACCCCUCGGGCUACCCGUCUGAUCUCUGAAAGUUACUCUGGUGCCGAAAGCUCGCUUACGGUCAUCAAAGUUGACGUUCAACAGGUUAGAACGGGAUAAAUUCGUUAAGGAUGUUGACGUA
rnacentral:rRNA from 1 species